GGAUGAAAAACACACCCCCUGUGAAUUUUUUCCAGGUUGGGAAGAUGUCAUGGAGUAGAAGCGUUCUUAAUUUCCUUGCAUCAAAUUUCAAACCAAAAUAUGCAGAUGAACACGAAUAAAAUAAGAACUAAAGCGGCUACUUUCCAAAUUAGUAUAGGAGAAAUAGUUAAGAAGAUUUAAUAAAUAAAUCCAAAAGGAGAGCAGAAAGCCACUGGGCCGAUGCAGUGGCUCAUGCCUGUAAUCCCAGCACUUUGGGAUACCGAGGCAGGUGGCUCACCUGAGGUCAGGAGUUCGAGACCAGCCUGGGCAACACGGUGAAACCUUGUCUCUACUAAAAAUAUAAAAAUUAGCCAGUUGUGGUGGCGCACACCUGUAAUCCCAGCUACUCAUGAGGCUGAGGCAGGAGAAUUGCUUGAACCGGGGAGGCAGAGGUUGUUGUGAGCUGAGAUCAUGCCACUGCAUUCUGGCCAGGGUGGCAGAGAGAGACUCCAUCUCAAAAAAAGAAAAGAAAAGAGUCGUGCGAGAUGCUGAACCUGUGAUGUAACUAGAAAUAAAACAGUGAAGGUGAAUCCAGGUCCUUAGGAGUAGAGGGCAGGCCAACGUAUGUGUUGUCACCAGAGGUGACUGAAAUCCAAGAAGGGAAGGCAGGAGGUCAGGGUCUGGAGUAACACCUCUGCUGAAAGGGCCAAGGGCAUUUUGUGGCCUUUUUAAUAUCUCAAAAAGAGACUUCAAGGCAGAACCUUGGCUAGGGUUAAAAGAGCUCUCACAUGGUAAGAGUUUGAGUUCUUCAGAAAACCUAACAGUUAUUGACUCCUGGGCUUUUAACACAGCCUUGGAACAGAAAUACCUAGAAUUGACAAGAUAAUUAUGCUUAACUGUAUGAAACUGGAGAUAUCCAAUGCUUUUGACCUCCAGGAACAGUAAUUACAUAUGGCUCAACCUACUGUUAAUAAAAAUAGACAAGUCUAACAUCAUGAAAUAUUUAACACAAAUUUUUCUAUAAGUAGAUCAAGAAGAAAAUAAAACAAUAGACAGUUGAUUGGAAAAAGAGCAAACAAAAACAUUCCCAAAGAUCCUACACAAUGUGAUUUCAUUACAUGAUAUGAAGAAUAUGAGUAGCUACACACUGAAUUGCUUAGGAAAAUAGAUGUGCAUAGUAAAACUAGAGGAGAAAACCAGAGAACAACCAACACAAGAGUGGGAAUUGGGGCUCCCAUUCAGGGAAGAGACGGUAGCAGGUGCAGAAGGAAAAGCCUACAAAGGAAAUUCCAUUUUUCCAGUUCUGUAUCCCUUAAGCCACACAGUGGGUACAGAGCCUCUGUGUGUCCUUUAUACACUGCCUACAUCAUGAAUAUUCAUUUGCAUCUAUUAAUAGUUUAAAAUAAUUUUUAAAUAAAAUUAUAUCAGUAAAUCAUAACAGCUCUACAUUUAAGGAAAAAUAUUUCCUUAAAUGUAAAUAUUCCUUAAUAAGGAAUGUAAACAUUCCUUAAAUGUAAAUAUUCCUUAAUAAGGAAUGUAAACAUUUCUUAAAUGUAAAUAUUCCUUAAUAAGGAAUGUAAACAUUCCUUAAAUGUAAAUAUUCCUUAAUAAGGAAUGUAAACAUUUCUUAAAUGUAAAUAUUCCUUAAUAAGGAAUGUAAACAUUCCUUAAAUGUAAAUAUUCCUUAAAUGUAAAUAUUUCCUUAAAGUUGAAAAUGGUGAUUUGUCAGCAUUUGAAAAAAAGAUUAGGAAGUUUCCUGCUGGUAACAGUCUGAUGUGUAGCUUUGCCUUAAAAAUGGAAAUUACAGAGCUAUCAUCAGGAAAGUUGCAAUAAAUAGGUUGGGCACGGUGGUUCAGCCUGUAAUCCCAGCACUUUGGGAGGCCAAGUGCUAAGAUCAGGGCAGAUCGCCUGAGGUCACGGGUUCAAAACCAACCUGGCCAACGUGGUGAAACCCUGUCCCCACUAAAAAUACAGAAAUUAGCCAGGUGUGGUGGCACAUGCCUGUAGUCCUGGAUAGUCAGGAGGCUGAGGCAGGAGAAUCGCUUGAACCUGGGAGGAGGAGGUUGCAGUCACCUGAGAUCAUGCCACUGCACUCCAGCCCAGGUGACAGAGCAAGACUCCAUCUCAAAAAAAAAAAAAAAAAAAAAAAAGACAAGUUGCAAUAAAUAUAUGUAGAGAAAUGUCUUCUUUAGAUGGGUAUACACACAGAUAGAUAGCUAGAUAGACAGACAGUUGCAUAGAUAAUUAGGUUCCUGACUAUAAAAGCACAUUAAGUAGAUAUUGCAAUAAAUGAAAAAAUGAGUAAUACAGAUUCCUAUAUUCCAUGGGUUUUUAGAUGAAUAGAAGACAUAAGAACAGAGUUUCUAGACUAAUAGAAGACAUAACACAAGAAUAUAAGACAGUAUGGUAAAUUCUGUAAAAGUGAUAUAAGCAAGAAUUAGAAGGUUCAGAGGUGGCAUAGAGUGAUUAGAGAAAUCAAAGCAGGCUUCGUGGAGGAGGUGGGCUUUGGAAUCCGGCGGAAGAGCAGGAGGGUGCAUUGAUUUGAAGUUCCCUUAAUUCUUUGUGGCACUCUUCUCCACUAGCCCGCAGCUCCUGAGAGCAGGAAGGACUGACUCCUGUUUUGUUCCUCUCUCUGACUAUAGGCAGCAGUGAGCCCCCCUGCCUCUGAUUGUCAUCUUUGGGGGCCAGAGAAGUGAGCAGCUAUCCUUCCCAGUCCCUGGUCCCUCCAAGCAGUGACAACAAAGAAUGGACCAGGCGAGGCAUUGUGUGUAGACACGUGAGACUUCUCAUCCAGGGUCAAGAGGAGAAGCAGCGGAUUAGGAGUGCCAUGACUUAAAGUUAACCUCUUUAGAGCAGAUGAGCCCUGCUUAUUCUAGGGCAUUCAGCUAUGUCUAAUCAAUCGCUCCUGUGCUUGGAAGAAUGGGAACACGACACAGUUUCCCCUUCUUCCUUGUUUAUCUCACUGUAGCGGUGAGAUAGACGAUGGUCACAUUGGUACCAUCACGGCGCUGCGGUCAUAGCAGUCCCUAUUUAUCCCACAGGUUCCCCUGAAUUCCGAGGCAUCCCACAUUUCACAUGAGCAAAUAGCCUUGACACCUGCCGCGUCUCCAGGACAAUAGGCAUUUCUGACCCACAUGAUCUGCACAAAGAAGAAAGCCUCUCUCUCUUUCUCACCACUGCAUCCCCAACUGAUGUGGACCGUGAUACAUAAUUGGAGUUAAAUAAAUAGUUGAGGUUGUCCUGGGGGUCGUGCCUUUUUAAGGCUAUGUGAUUAUGCCAAUUCAUAGAAAACAUGAGAUGAUUAAAAAGAGAAAUAAUUGGCCAGGCGCAGUGGCUCACACCUGUAACCCCAACAGUUUGGGAGGCCGAGGUGGGUGGAUCACCUGAGGUCAGGAGUUUGAGACCAGCCUGACCAAGAUGGUGAAACCAUGUCUCUUCUAAAAAUACAAACAUUAGGCUGGGCGUGGUGGCUCACACCUGUAAUCCCAGCACUUUGAGAGGCCAAGGCGGGCUGAUCACAAGGUCAGGAGAUCGAGACCAUACUGGCUAACACAGUGAAACCAUCUCUACUAAAAAAAAAUACAAAAAAAUUAGCUGGGCAUGGUGGCGGGCACCUGUAGUCCCAGCUGCUGGGGAGGCUGAGGCAGGAGAAUGGCAUGAACCCGGGAGAUGGUGCUUGCAGUGAGCCAAGAUCAUGCCACUGCACUCCAGCCUGGGCGACAGAGCAAGACUCCAUCUCAAAAAAAAAAAAAAAUACAAAAAUUAACCAGGCAUGGUGGCAGGCACCUGUAAUCCCAGCUACUUGGGAGGCUGAGGCAGAGAAUUGCUUGAACCUGGGAGGCGGAGGUUGCAGUGAGCCGAGAUUGCGCCACUGCACUCCAGCCUGGGCGACAGAGUGAGACUCUGUCUCAAAAAAAAAAAAAAAAAAAAAAAAAAAAGAAAGAAAAGAAAAGAAAAGAAAUAAUUGAAAAAAUCAAAACAGCAAGAAGGGCUGCCACAUAAGAAGAGGCUUAGAAGAUUUCCAAGGAAGGUUAAAAUCAAAGAAUAAUAGAGUUUAAAUCUGCACAAUCAUGAAGAAAAACUAUAAAAAACUACAAAUAAACUAUAGAUGGUCUCUCAUCUUACAGCUACAAAAUUAUAGAAAACAGAAAGAGAAAAGCUAAAGAAGAAAAUGUCACAGCUAAAAAUGGAAAUAUAUUUCCAAACAUUGUGAUUGUUUCAUGGGCACUUUAACCACAGUGAAUUAUUCAGGAGACUGAAAUGUUUGUGGUGGACCCCUGGGAAGCUCAGCAAGUAUUCCUUAGGUGCCCCCCAUGAAGUAAAAUACAUUUGGAGGCAAAUCGAGUUCCCAACAUGAUAAGAGUUUAAGUAACAGAAGACAGAGUGCCCUUCUCCCAGCAACCAGCUGUGGAUUUACUCGCAGAAUCUCUAAUACUAAAAUGACUGAGAGGAGUUGCCAGAGGCACAAAGCCCUGAUUUAAAAUCAGCAGAACCUUUGGGCUUUCAUUACUGCAGUGAUCCCAAGGUCAGAUUGUCUUUACUUUUGUAUUGUCAGUUUUCCAAGGUCAAAUACUUCAGCAUCUUUUCAACUGUUCCUUGAGCAAAUGUAAAAAUCAGGGCCGGGCGCGGUGGCUGAGGCCUGUAAUCUCAGCACUUUGGGAGGCUGAGGCAGGUGGAUCACGAGGUCAGGAGUUUGAGACCAGCCUGGCCAAUAUGGUGAAACCCCAUCUCUACUAAAACAAAUGCAAAAAUUAGCCGGGCGUGGUGGCAUGCACCUAUAGUCCCAGCUACUUGGGAGGCUGAGGCAGGAGAACUGCUGGAACCCGGGAGGCGGAGGUUGUAGUGAGCUGAGAUAACACCACUGCACUCCAGCCUGGGCAACAGAGUGAAACUCCAUCAAAAAAAAAAAUCAGGACAAUUUUUAUAAGGCAUUUCUUAUAGAGAUUUGCAGAAGACAGGGGACACAAAAGAAGCAAGCACCACUGGUCUUCUGGGCACAGAGAGAUGUGCCCCAUGGCUCCUGAUGCUCUCUAGGAGGGCCUUCCAAUGAACAGCGGGCCUGGGAGCAUUUGAGGGAAACAGCAGAAGCACUGACUCACUCCAAAGAUGAAGGGGGUGUCCUUCCUAACCCCGGAGUGGUGCCCCUCCCAACACUGGGUGAAGUGAUCAAAACCUCUCCCAACAAUUUUGGUCCUCUGACACCAGGUAGGUGAUACAAGGGAACCCACUUUUUACAGACACAAAGUAAAAGUGACUGUUGACUAAUCAUGAUUAUUAAUAAGCAUAAGACAGUCCAAGUAAAAUUCCGAUAGAGACUACAUUAUCAGGGAAGUGUAUAUAUGAUCACAAUUUAUCUGGGUCUUAGGUUUUUAAUAUGUACACACACACCCGUGUGCACACACACGUAUGUAAGUUGUUAACAAAGUAGGGAUUAACAGUAAAUAAAACAUCGUGAUUGUACAGUGAGGCCAAAGAAGUUACACAAAAACUAAGUGGAAUGAAACUGAGCUUUAUCAUUUUAAAAUUUGGUGGGUUUUUUUUUUGUUUGUUUUUUGUUUUUUGAGACGGAGUCUCGCUGUGUCCCCCAGGCUGGAGUGCAGUGGUGCGAUCUCGGCUUACUGCAAGCUCCGCCUCCCGGGUUUAGCCAUUCUCUUGCCUCAGCCUUCCGAGUAGCUGAGACUACAGGCACCCGCUACCACGCCCGGCUAAUUUUUUGUAUUUUUAGUAGAGACGGGGUUUCACCGUGUUAGCCAGGAUGGUCUCGAUCUCCUGACCUCAUGAUCCGCCCGUCUCGGCCUCCCAAAGUGCUGGGAUUACAGGCGUGAGGCACCACUCCGGCCUUAAAAAUUGUUUUUAAUUGCUGAACAAAUUUCUAAAAGAAACACGAGUAAAGCUGCCAACUGCAACGACACUUUCUUCGGAUUCUAUCAGAGGGAUUUUCAUUUGAGUUUCGCAGCACGUAUUUAGAAUCGCUGCAGUCUUUUACAACCAGAGAAAUGGCAUCUUCCAAGCUCACUCUCCACUGAAAAAAGAGUCAAGAUUUCCUCUCUGCAAAUAUCCUAAAAAUAUCAACCUUGUAGCAGGUAGGCAUCAGAAUAGCCAUUGUAAGGAGAGAGACUAAACCACUAGAUCACCUAAUAACUGCAUUUCCAGGAAAGCUUGAACAAAAGAGAAAACAAGACACAGAGUGACUUAUCUACCAAUGCCUCAUUACACAAAGAGCUUCCAGAAAUUCUACCAUGGAUUAUGAAUUUAUUUUGCCAAAUAGGCAGACUUCAUUACCUGGCCAGUUCUAACUGUGGUUUUUGGGACCUUCAGGAUUUAGCAUCACUUAGGAACACGAUGCCACGUUUUCCUGAAAUAAAGCUUACUGCUAAGUUUAACUACUUUAAACGAUAUUUAACAGCAAUCUCUCAGUCCCUUUGAUAGACAAUAAUUAAGCAUUUCCUGUGCUUCAGCAAUGUGGUGCCUGCUUUUGUAGUAGAUAAAUUCACAACCUCCUGCUGUCAGCAGUCAGGAUGUGGUAUGGGGUGUCUAGUCAGGUACAGAGUAUUUCACUUGUCUUAACCCCAUGGUGAGGGGAUGCAAACUCAGACUUAGUGCUCAAAUAUUUUCCAAAGCGACAGACACAGUUGGUAGGUUGUGAGAAUAACAUUUGAACCUAGGUCUUUUUACCCUCUAAGCUUGCAUGAAUUUCAAUUCUAAAAUGUAUUUUUACAUCUUUGCUGUCUAACAUAGAAGAAUCAGCAGAAUUUAACUUUGGAUUUUCUUUAUUGUGAUAACUCUAGAAGUAUCAUUGUUCUGAGAAGUAAAACUCUGAUUUCUUUUUUGUUGUUGUUCAAUAACCCAUGUCUGGCACGGCUCUUCAACGAGUCCUCUGCAGUGCUCAUGGGGCUUUUCUUGACUUAAUUAUAAUGGCAAUUACCUUCAGAAAGCAACGUGAAGCUUUCAGUAUUCUAGCAUUUGAUCUUCACAACAAGCAGACAUGCUCCAGCGAAUUCUGUCAGAUUUUCUUCAUCUGGAAGCACCUUUAUUCCACCAUGGGAUUUGAAAACAUAUUCAGAGGUGUUGAAUUCCAUCUAGAGAAUCUCCUUUUCAGUCUUCCAGAGAAAACAUAAUCUUCUUGAUACCAUCAUUUUGGAGAUGAGAAAUGGCAACUACUUCAAAAUGAAUCUUCAACAGCAGUUGGAGGAGAUUUAAAGACAAUGCAUGCAUGAAGAUGGGCGUGAGAUGCCAGUAACUCCAUGAAUUAGAGUUUCACAUAAGCCAAACCCUCACAGAAUGUCUGCAAAAAAACCCAAGGAAGACGGGGAUAGUUUGACCUCAGCUGUCCACUGCUAGUGGAGAGUAUUUAAGAUAAUCAUUUUAGUAACUUUAGGAUACAAUUAUUUUUAGGAUCUUCCUGUGCUAUUGGCAGUGGGCUGUUUCUCAGUUUGCUGUUGAUUUUUGGUCAAUAGCUGUUACAUGUUACAUGAUCAGAUGUUAUAAUCAAUUAGUUUUAUAUUUUUUCUUUUAAUUGUUUUCCAUAUUGAAACCCACGUGUCAUAAUCUAAUAAUGCUGGAGCUGCAGAGUGUCUCUGAGUUUGAUUUUUGCAAAGACAUUGAUGCAUUUCAAGAAACUAAAGAUAAUAAUGGCAUGGAUAAUAAUUAUACAUUACAUUAAAAAGAAUUAACAGGCGUGGGGUGGUGACUCACGCUUGUAAUCCCAGUACUUUGGGAGGCUGAGGCAGGUGGACCACCUGAGGUCAGAAGUUUAAGACUAGCCUGGCCAACAUGGUGAAAACCUGUCUCUACUAAAUUACAAAAAUAAGCCGGGCAUAUUGGCUCAUGCCUGUAGUCCCAGCUACUUGGGAGGCUGAGAAACAAGAAUCAUGUGAACCUGGGAGGCAGAGGCUGCAGUGAGCCGAGAUCACACCACUGCACUCCAGCCUGGGUGACAGAGAGAGACUCUGUCUCAAAAUAAAUAAAUAAAUAAAUAAAUAAAUAAAUAAAUAAAAAUAAAAGGAAUUAACAAAGAAUUUCUUGAUGGUAAAAUCACCCGUGUGUUUAUAUCAGUGGCCUUUAUGGCUCUGUGUGUCUGUAUGGUGUGGAGAGUGUAUCCUGAGCUAUGUUCCUCUUAUUUUACCUAUAAGCACAUGAUCUGCUUUAUUAUUAUAUUUAAAUAUCCUUAUUGAAUUAUAGUAUGAUGUGCAUUCACAUACAUUUUAUGUAUUUCAAUAAAGACAAAGCGGAGGUUCAACUUAUCCCUUUGUAUGUAACUAACUGUCAUUGUCUGUUUGCCUCAUGGAUCUUAAAAGCCUUCAAGGUGAAGACCAAGCUAAAAUUAUUGAUGUAUCCCCAAUACUCAUAAUAACAUCCUGUCCAAAGUGAUAGCUUAAUAACAGUUUGAAGAGUAAAUUAAUAACUUCAAGAUUAUUUUAUGUAUUUGAAGCUUAGGCAAAGGAGAGUCAAUGAUGCAUUAUCAGAAGACCAUAAAGGAUAUCAAUCUUGCAGACCUGGGAAACCAAGAUAAAUAAAAUGUAUGCUUUUCUAUCAUUCAUAGGGGUGCCCUGUGUGGGAUGUUUUGGCCGUUUUUAAACCUGACAAAAUCUGGCAAAGUUUGCCUUCUCUUGAGGUAUUCCUGGCCCUCCACCCUCCUGGCUUCCUGUAGAUUGCACCCACCCUUGUCCCAGAAGAAUGAAUUACUCACUUCCAGAGAAAAGAUAAUCAAAGUGUGGUAUAGAAUGACGCUGGAUGAGAAUGUUUGUUUCUCCAUAAUUCUGUAACGUCUUCGAGAGUUUGGAAUUUUAAUACCCCACCCUAGUUCACUUCCUAGCACAUAGUUGGUAUUCAAAUAAUUUCUUAAAGCAUAGUGUUCAAUAAAUCUUUAGAUAAAAAAAUUGUGAAAAGUAAAAAGUAUAUUUUAAUAGGAGUAAAACUAGACAUUAUGAUAGAAUCUGAAUAAAAAGGGAAGCAUGACCUUUAGCCUGGGGAAGAAUAUCCUAUAAGAAUUCCAUAGAAUAUCUCUUAGUAAAUGUAGUAAAAACACCCAUUGAUCAAAAGAAAUUGGAUCUAUGGCUCAUAAUAACAUCUCAUUGAUUGAAAAGCACUUUGUAAUAGCUUUCUUCCAUGUGAUAUCUGUCAGGCAUUAACCUUUCAGCCUCCUGAUCAUGUGAAAGGAAUUCUUUGCUUAUGCCACUGCUCAUAUGACCCCAUCCAUGACAUUUCAUAAAUUGCAUCUAUUGAACAGAGAUUUUGGGUUUUCUGGAACUGAAAAAUCCAUUGCCAAAGCAAGGCAUUUCUCUAUGGAUUGUAUGAUAGAAUUUAGCCAUAUGCUCUAGAGACCUGGAGCUAUUUUAGCAAACUUGACUACCUCUGAAAAAUGACUACUUACAAAGAGAUAAGUAAGUUUCAAAUUUUAGAACAUGUAGGGUUCACAUAGAAAUACAUUUAGAAGCAAUCAUAUAUUUAUUUACUCUUUUAAGGACACAUUUAAAAACAUAAAGUGUUCCUCUUAUUUAAAGCAAUGAGUUAAAAUUAUACCAAAUUCUGUACAUAAAAAAGUGAAUAUGCUAAUAAAAUAGUCCACCAAGUUUUAUUAUUAACACUAGGAAAUCAAUCUGCAUGUCCUAACAAAUAAAUAACAAAAUAGAUGAGCAUUUUAACAAAAUAUAAUCUCUUGUAAUUCCAGCUUCAAGCUUGUGUUGCUUUCUUAAGCAGAAAU
rnacentral:lncRNA from 10 species